CAGUCGCCGCGGGAAUACGAAGGGGGCUAGCGUUGUUCGGAAUCACUGGGCGUAAAGCGCACGUAGGCGGACACUUAAGUCAGAGGUGAAAUCCCAAGGCUCAACCUUGGAACUGCCUUUGAUACUGGGUGUCUUGAGUUCGGGAGAGGUGAGUGGAACUGCGAGUGUAGAGGUGAAAUUCGUAGAUAUUCGCAAGAACACCAGUGGCGAAGGCGACUCUCUGGUCUGUAACUGACGCUGAGGAGCGAAAGCGUGGGGAGCGAACAGGAUUAGAUACCCCUGUAGUCCCUGUCUCUUAUAC
rnacentral:rRNA from 1 species